CCCUCGGGCCCUGGCCGGUUCCGCCACUCCCGGUAACGCGCUGGCUUCUCUGGCGUGUAAAGAAACAGCCUUUCAGACGUAGGUGCAGGAUACGUGUCUCCCCUUGCGAGGGCGGGCGGGCGGGCGCCCCCCACCCACGCUCCAGGCCGCGCUGCGCCUCCUAUUCGCGAGUCGCUCCUCCGUCCGCCAGGCCUGCCGGGCGGGGCUGUCCUGAGCCCGCCUCUUGGCCCCUCAGGGACCGUUGAAGGCCCCUCGAGCCCCAAGGUCAGGCCCCCUCAGAGCUAAGCAAGGUCAGGAAUGGUCCGACCAAACUGAUAAAGAUCUACUAGAACUCUCCAAAUCCACCAACCAGAGCCUAGCACAAAAGGUGCACGCUUAGAACACGGGCUUCCGGAGCCUGAAAAUCUAUUCUGAGCACGUGACCAAAAAAGAGUUCAUAGACCUUCCGCGCAAGAGUCCACUCCUGCUAACCUCAAGCUUUCUCGCUUUGUUGCUGCUGCUCUCAAGUAAUGGAAAGUCAGAAAUCCUCGCCCAUCUAUUGCACAUCACCCAGAGAUUACUAGCAAAUCCAGAGCUGCCUUCUGCCAUCCACCCCAACAAGUCUUGAAUUUAAUGAACAUUCAUAUCCCUGUAGAAAAACAUUCAGGGCUCACUUAUACAUGAUUCAUAGUCUAAGAGGCAAGGCAGUAUUGGUGAAUCAUUGCGGAAAGCUCUCCUAUUGUAGUAAGCAGGCCUUGCCUGGAAAAAGCAAAGAAGAGAGCUAUGCUGAGUGCUUCUGCCUGCACGUCCCCCUUGCCCGCCCCCCCCCAGUAAUUUUUCUCGCUAGCUGACUUGCUAGAGGAAAAACAGUUUGGAGAGUGAUGGUGUGUGUGCGGGAGAGGGCAACUAGGGGGAAGGGAAGGGCCUUCCGCUUCUCCACUGUAAAUUGUGCCUCUUUAUAGCAGUUUAACCCAACUAAUUAGGGUGGCCCAUUUAUGCUCCCCCCCCACAAAAAAAAAAGAGAUGAAAUGCAUCGGCCCAAACAAGAAGGCAAAACAGGAGACUGCUUUGUAUACAAUUUGCAUAUGUUCAUUUAUAUGUAUAGAUGCAAACUGGGAAAUAAUUACUAUAAUCCAAACCACCGUUCACCAUCAUGGGGGAGCAGGUGCCUCCUCGCCUACCCAGGCUGCUGUCCAGGUGCUAAUUAUCGGAGGGCAGCAUCAAAGCUCCCCUGCUCACCCUCCUUAGGGUUCCUUCCUUUGAAAUGGAGCUUGGACUGGACAGCCAGAGCACACCUUCAGCAACAGACGUCCAUCCUCUGCAACUUAGAGCAUAUUUCCCCCUUAAUUCUGAUACAUAGAUCAUACCUAGUUAGACCCUGAGAAGCCAUAAUCUCUGGGUAAUCUCUUUGCUUAUUGAGCUGUGUGAACUGUGCCCCUCAGGGACAGCCGCAUGGCCAGCUGAGAAUGUGUAUUACUGCACUUCUGAGUGUGGUAAGCCAUCUUGGCUGCAGACAGAGACCCUCCAAGCCCACACUGUUGGUUGGCUCGCCGGACAGCUGCCCCAGCACACACCGAUGCGAAACGCCAAGUUUGCAAAGGACCCUUCCUUGUUCAGCAGCCCUUUCCCCACUGAAGAUUACGCGCCUGUCCUUGCCAGAGUGAUGCACCAUCAGCCAAGGAAAACGGAACGCACUCUCUUGGGUGCAGAAGCGCUGAGCCAGCAAAAUGCAUCCGAAGGCGCUGCAUGCCAGUGCGUCAUUACCAAAUAAUUUGGCAGCUUAAUCUCAGAGACAGAGAAGAAGGCAGUAGCUGAGAAGGAAACCACAGGCAAGUGGCAUGCAUGAUGUCUUGGCAACCUGAGAAGGAGAGGAAAAAGCAAAACAGAAGCGUUCUGCUUCUCUCACACACCCAAAAUGCAAACGCACCAAGGCACUCCAAGGCUCGAGUAAAGACCAGUGAGCUUCCACCUGCAGUCCAGGACAAGGAGGCGCGGUCUUGACUGACCUGUGCUGCCAUGACAGAUGCUAUGGCUUCAUGGGGGCUGCGGGGCAGAUUGGAGCUCCCCGUGGUGGGGCCGAUGCUGCUUCACACCCUGGACAACAUGCGAUUGGUCUAAAUUCUCCCGAUUCCGCGAUCACGGUUGCUCCUUCCCCAGCUUUACGAUGAGGAAAAGGCCGCUGUGUGCCAAUUAAUAGAAAAGCAAUUUUUGCAGGGGAACAGGGACCGCUCAACAAUCAAGUCGGAGGGGGUUCCAGUGCUCCUCGUGAACUUCAGCCACAGAUCAUAUGAUCAUUUGUAGCAUGCCUUCCUCUGAGGACUAUUUAGCCUGCCCAUUAAUCCAACCCGUUAAGAUGACGAAAAAUGCAAAGAUCUCACCAGGGUUCCCAAAUGAGAAGUGGGUGAGAAUACGGAGUAGUGUCUGCAUUUAAGUCAUUUGCAGUCAUUUGCUGAAGACACAAACAAUGACCGAGGUCUGGGAUCUAAGCCAGCAAUCCAGCAAGCAGUCCCCUGAGCAAGGGAAGGGCAUGGAUCAUGGUGCAAAAUAAGCAGGAAAAAUGUUUAUUUUAUUUAUUACAUUUAUAUCCUUUUUUCUUGCAAAUAAGACUGCUUACAUCAUUCUCCUCCUGCUCUCCAUCUUAUCCCCACAACAGCCCUGUGAGGCAGUUUGCACUGAGAUUUUGUGACUGCUCACCCAGUUGGCCCCAUGGCUGAACGGGGACCAGAACCCACAUCUCCCGAGUCCCAGUCCCACGCUCUUAAGCACUGCACCACACUGGCUCUCAAAAUGUUACAGUGCUUAAUAGCAGAUCCUGGAAUUGCAACCCAGGGCCACUAGACUAAACCGAAUAUUGCUUUCAGUGGUCAUCUCAAGUACUUUUGUACCUAAACUAUAUUAAUCUUGCAUCUCCCUCCAUCCCUUUGCUACAGUAAAAACUUCAGUGAUGAAAUGUAGCCCAGCAUUUUCUGCCAUUUCUCUUUGAUAGCUUCACAAGAAAGAUUGUUUGUAUAAAUUUGCAUCCUAAGUAUUAACCUUUUGGCUCAAUUAGCCAGAUUAAGAAAGAGCCCUUUAUUUCCUGUGGAAACAAAGUUCCUCAUUUUUGGAUACUCAGGUUACAUGUAACUACUACACUUUCUCCAGUGCUCUUCAUAUUGAGAAAUUAAUCCCUGCUUAACAUUCUACUGUAUUCCUCUGUACUUGAGAUGAACAUCCAUUUCAGAGAAUCUCUGAAGGGCCACAUUUCAGGGCCAAAAUACCCCACCCAAAAAAACAGACAAACAUUGGCUUCA